GGGAAGGCCGCGGCGUGCUGAGGGGCCGGUCUGCGGCUCCGCACCGCAGCAAACGCGGAGCCCGGCUGCGAGCACACGGACAGGCUUCAGGCUGUGACCAGGCUGCCUCUACUGGGGAGACCUCGGUUCGGCGGGAGGGCGGCCGGGCGGAAGCAGCCACCGAGCAGUGGGGCCUCCCGGGCUGCCGCGGACCCACGCCGCCAGGGACGGGGAGAAGCUUUGCUGAGGGGAGUGGGAGGUCAUCGAUCUCGGCUGCCUGAGACAUCCCCGGCGUCCCCGCGCGAGCUGUGGGUCGCUAAUCCGUGGGUGCCCUUGACCCUGUCGCCAGUGUUGAGCUGUCCCCCGGGUGAGCGCAGGGAUGCGGGCCCGCUGCAGGUGAGGCACGGCACCGAAGAGCAGGAAGGCGCCGGGCUGACAUGGAAGCUGGGUGUGUGGUCUGGAGCAACGGAGGGUGUCGGCGCACCCGGCCACAAUGGAGGGCUAGAUUUAGUCACUUCCAUAGGCCCGAAAAUAUCCGCACCAGAUGGCUGACGAAGUGGGACGAGCCCUGGUUCCCUCAUAACUAACCUGGGGCUUGUGUCCCACCUAACUUGGUAAUGAAGGCCAGAGUCAGGCCAGUUGAAAAAGCAAAAAGGAUGAAGAAGGAGCAGGUGAGGUGGCCACUGAAACGAGGAAAGGCCAGGACUUGGAGCCAGUGCUGUGAUCAACAUGGCAAAGUCCCUGACAGGAAAAAGGAAGCUGGUUUUGGCGGAUCAGUGCUGGUGGAGAGACAAAGGUCCUAGCGCAGUCACGUCAGCUGUCAGAAGCUGUCUGAGGAUCUGGGCUCUUCUGAGGUGAUACGUAAUUUCCAGCCGAUCCUGAAAUCAUGUUUUAGCUUGCUUGUGAUAGAUGUUAGGGAAGUGGAGUGCAUUGUGCCAUUUGCCGUGAUGCAGAGCAAUAUGGUGGUCGGUGCCUUGGAGCCACGUGGUAAACCGGAGCAAGGUUCUGCCCACCCCCUUGGAAAGCCAUUUGGUGAACAGACAGCAAGUGUUGGCUCCGUGGGUUGGGCUGACGAGAGGCAGCGGCUGCAGCUGGUGUGUACUGCCUGUAAGUUAAGCAAAUUAUGAAGUCCAAGGAGUGUCAAAUACUUGAUCCAGUAUACACUUCUGAGGAUAGAAAGGUGAAAGCAAUCUUCUGGGUGGUAACCCAUAGGCUGAAGCAGGGUUUUGUGUGAUUCUAGAUAAAUCAGUUUUUAAUUUGUCACUAUAGAAGAAGAAGAGUAAUGCUUUUGCUCCUCCCAGGCUGGUGUGAGGCUUAGGACUGUAAUAUACUUGUGUUACAGUGAGAUGGCUUUAUGUACACAGCUAAAAUGGUUUGGUUCUUAUCAUCUCUGCAUAGAAUUGGAUUUAAAAUAAACUGACAUAGCGAUAGGACUUGGAGGAAUGUUAGGCACUGCAUGUACUAUGUGAAGGAUGUAAAAGGAGAAACAAAGGGUGCCAAUGCUACAAAUGCGUGUGAUACAGGCAGAAAAUGAGAAGGAAGACCAGGAUGAGUUAUUAGACAAAAGGAGUACUAAGAGGACAAGGUCAUGAAAGCCCAAAGGAUGAGAUUUCAAGGUGAAUGUGAUCAGCAAGCUCCAAGGAUGCAUUAAAAAAACAAACACACACACACACACACAAAAAAUUAACUGGAAAAGCUGGGAACUAAAACCCAAUAAAGUUGCAGUUUAGUAAUUUCUCUGUUUAUUGCUCUUGGAGGAAAAUACAGCAGUAGAAGCAGAAGGAGGUGAGUUAAAAACAAGUUUUAAGCCCAGAGCAUGAAGUGGACAGAUUUUUAAUCUAAAUUUAAUGAGAGUUGUUCUUUAACUAUAGGUAGAUGAGGUAUGUCAGAAAUAGCUAGGCAUCUCUCCAACUUGCUUUAAACUGAUACAAAUGCAACUGAAUUCCUUGGACUUUCAGCAUUGUUAAACUGGGCUAAAUGAGAAGAGAGUUAUUUUCACAAACUUCAGAAAUGCAAACAAUAACUUCCUGCCACAAAGAAACUGAAGAGUUAAAGACUUUUCGAUGCAUAUUCCUUCAGCAAACAUAGCGGAGAUGAAGGUCACAGACUUGAAAUUCAAUAAUCCAGCUAUGGAACAAAUAAGAAAAGCACCAAGAAACUGUUACCCGGAGCUCAAGAACUGUCCCUGAAGCCAUAAAGAUGUAUCCAUUAGAAGACUGGACAUUUUAUCUCUGGGUGAAGUAUGAGCAAAAUGAUCCUAGACUAUCCUAGCCGGCUUCAAUUGAAUUGUCUACUGCUGCAAUCUCAAAGGCCAGAGUGGAAAGAGUUUUCUUCAUGUAAACAGGUGUAAAGGAAAAGAGCAGUCACUCCGAUGUUGGUGUAAUCCCUCUGAGCAGCUUCACAGAAACCUUAAGGCUGCACUGAAGAGGAGCACACAUAGCUGACAUGUGUACAGUGGUUUUCAGAAUACUUUCUUAAUACUUUGACAAUUACUGAAAUACAUGGUUCAUAAAUUGGUCUGGCUGCGUGCUGUGUUGGUGUGAGAAUGUCUGAGAAAGAAGGGAGAGGCCAGAACUUGUUUCCAGGUGGUUUAUUGACUGUUAAACUCUUCCAGCCAGAUAAAAGCAGCAGCAAAUAACCUGAUCCAUGUGUUACAACACUGCACAGUCUCACCUUCUCCCUCCCUGCAUCGUAUUUCCUAUCUAGGUCACUGCAUUGUGAGGCUGUUGGUUUAACAGAUAAUGCUUCCACAUGUUGACCCAGACGCCGUGAAGACAAGCACAUUUUCAGGCUAUUCAUGCAAAUUACCAGUGUCCUGAGCCUGCUCCUGGCACGUACUUUACCUUCCUCCUUGCUGGUUUGGUGCUUGGUAUGGUUUGCCCAGCCUUAUGGCUGGAAUGGGCUAUACCAACAGCUUUGUAGAUAAAGUCAUCUUGCCAUCAGCCUGUCAAACAUAAAUUCCAUCACUACCUUGCAACUGCUAUAUAAUUAAAUGUUCUCCUGCUAGGCAUACUCUGGUUUAAUGGGUUUUAUGAGUCAUGGCAGCAAAAGGAAAGGAGAGUCCCCCAAAACAAGAAUGGGCACAAACACCCCCUUGAUAAUCAUCAUAUUUAGACAGACUAAGGUUCUUGCUUGUCCAGAGAACUGAACACUAGGUCUCCUCAGAUCCCUUGUCAGAGUAUCACACACUGAUGCUCACUAAGGUACCUGGAGAAAGCGAUUUUGCAGUUUGGAAUUACUUGAAGUAGUACAGACACUUGCAAGGAAGUGGUUUGCUUUGAGUCUGUGGCAUAUUAGUUUGACAGUGUUUGAGAAGGAAGGAAGAGGUGAGAACUUGCAAAUUCUGUGCGCUCAUAAGCUCAACCCCAAAUGCAUCUACCCCACAGGAUGUGUAUGACAUGAAUGAAGAGAGCAUGGCCCUCUCCUUUAGAUUGCCAAGGUCCAGUCAAGAUCCCAUAGUUUAAAGCGGCACCGAAACAAUCUCUUCCUAGCUGCAAGCAAUUAGGUGCAUGAAAAUCACUGGUGCAAGAAGGCAGCUCAGUGGCUUGGAGUUCCUCUGACCAGACUCACCCUCUUGGUGUGGCUUGUGCCGAACACAACAAGCUAUGGAAAGUAAAUGUCAGCUGCAUUAGCUUCUAGGCCAUAUCACCACAAAGGUGUGUAAGCCAAUCUUUAAAUUCCAGGUCUGUCAUCUGAAGAGAUUACAGCUCACCCAGCACUCAGGCACACACACUCCCUGCCAGCUUUCCUUGACCUAUUUACAAGCAAUGAACUAGAUACAGGCAGACCUUGUGCUUCAACUGCUUGAGUUAGUGCUGCUCACUUUGACUCAAGAGGGCCAAGGGAAGCAUGUACAAGCAGUUUUGCUGACAAACCUGGGAGGGUGGUCAUGGUUAGCAGGUAAUGAGCCAGGGAGGGGUAGACUGGGACAUAAACCCUUCUACUACAGCUGGAAGACGACUUGGGUCUCCAGCCUGGUUGUGGCCAUAUGGAACAGAAUACAGGCUAUGACUGCUGAAGCAGGACUUUGAGAAAGGCUGUUCCUUCCCUUCUUCUCCCCAUGCCAUCCUAGGGGGUGUUGCAGCUGCCCCAGCAGCCUGUCUGCUCCUCCUGUGGCUGCCCUUCUCUCUCAGGACUGAGCACUAUGUCUUCAUGCAGAGGCUGUCCAAACCAUGCUGAGCUGACUCGUGUCCCAUGCUGGCAGCAGCACACAGCACAAACGACAGGGCUCUGUGCAGUCCCUCAGAUGGGACAAGGAUCGGCCUCUGCUGCAGCCCCUCUGCUGUACCGUUAACUUAAGCUGUGCAUCUAUCUGGGUCCCAUUGCAAAUACCAAAUUAAACCGUUAAUACCCCUGAGCAGGGAUGGAGGGUUAAAUCAGAUGAAAGAUUAGAGUACCUGAGCAGGAUAUAUGCUUAACUAAGGGCCCUGAGUCUAAAACUGAGAUCCCAAAUCCCCCCAGUCAGCUGGCUACACCCUGUUGGUCCUUGGCACCUGCCUGCUCAAGACCAGGACCCCAGCCUCAUGUGGUGGGCAUCCUAACCCACCAGCAGGAGAAGAGUGGCAUGUGAAGUACUGUGCAAACCUGAGGCAGGUGCCUGACCUGCAGAAAGCUGUGGGAUUCACACACAGCCUGCUCCUCCUGACACAGCCAGUCCUCAGGCAUUUUUUGAGGUAGCCACCAAAGUAUCUGCUUGAGGUGCUGUCAGAAGAGCAAUGCCUGUGCAAGCAAGAAACAGUCCAUACAUGAGAAGCAUGGGAGUUCUGGCAUACAGCACCUUCAGUUUGUACAUUCAGGAAAACUGAAAAAAAAAACCCAAAACCAGUAAAUAAAACUGUCUGGUUGUUCUGGCUCAGGUGACUGGACACUGAGACUAGGUAGUGUGAGUUAGUAUACAUUAAUUUCCAUUUCUUUAUCUUUUAUAAGCUGUGAAGUUCAUGCUCAUAUGACUUCCUCAAUCUUCACAGGCUUCAGCUCUGAUCUCUUUUUAAGCCUUGAUAUAUCCAUUCUAUUUUUAGUCUUGCAGACUAUUUUUGGAUAAUAUCUACAUGCUGUAGUCUUUUUUUAGCUAGCCUGACAGCCAAAAUUGUGCCAGACUCUCCUUCUUUCAUACCUUGAUUGCUGCAACAUCCUUUCUCUGGUUGUGAGAUGCAUACACGUUUGUCCUGCUGUUAUUUAUUCCCAGGGCUGCUGCAAAACUUGUUCUCUUUGCUUGCUGUUUUGUCAGCCCUUUCCACUGACCUUAUCUCAGCAGAAGUACUCAAUUUAUACAAGCCCAUUUAUAUUGUGGGUGAUGUAUUUACUCUAUAUGUGCAGAUGGACUUAUCUGCACACGCACAGAGAGUGAAGUAAUUUUGCUGCGCCCCAGGUUACUGCAGGAAGGAGUGCAGCCAGAGGUGUCCUGCUGCUGGGACACCACCAAGUGCAACAUGCCCCUCGGGGCUCGCUGUGGAUGAGCUGCAGGCCAUUGAAUCACUGUCAGCGGCUGUUUAUUUCCAUCAUCACUUUUUCUGAUGUCCCAAGGCCCCAUUGCUGUCGCAUCAAGGAUAUGAGCCACUCCCAUGAUGGGCAAUAGCACAAGGAGCCCUGCGGAAAGGUGAAUGCAAGAUGCCAGAAUAGCCCUGCCAUCCCAGAGCAAAUUCCUCCUGCCCACAGCCUAAUUGCUGUGAGCUCCAAGUUGCCUCAAGAAACUGGUUGACAAAGAGAGGAUCUAGCCAAAGGACCUGAUUUUCAUUAGUAUAAUCUGUGAUGGGCCACUCAGAAGCAA